rnacentral:rRNA from 1 species
CCCGCCGGCGACCGGCGCACGGGUGAGUAACACGUAUGCAACCUGCCCGUUUCAGCGGGAUAACCCGGAGAAAUCCGGCCUAAUACCGCAUGUGGCCGAGGGGAGGCAUCUUCUUUCGGCCAAAGGAGGCAACUCCGGAGACGGAUGGGCAUGCGUGACAUUAGCUUGUUGGCGGGGUAACGGCCCACCAAGGCGACGAUGUCUAGGGGUUCUGAGAGGAAGGUCCCCCACACUGGUACUGAGACACGGACCAGACUCCUACGGGAGGCAGCAG